GUGGAAUUUGAGGCCUCCCCAGCGACCCACAAAAAAAGGAGGGAGAAAUGAAAGGAAGAAGAAAAAUUGAGCAUUUGUUUUUCUCUGACAAAGAGUAAAAUGACAGGGAAAAUCAAGCUGAACUCUUCCUGGAGACGGAAGAAAUCACACCAAUGCAAGCAUCUGUCUUCUGUCCAUGGUGCUGAAAUUUAUUCACUUUCAAACCACUUGCAGUAACAGUUAGCAUAAAAUAUGAGAAGUGUUGACAGGAAGCUGCAGCUUGGAUGGGAUGAUCACAACUCCAGGGCAAUGAGAUGACACGAAGUUGCAGGAGAGACCCCAGGGGACAAGAGUCUCUUGCCGUCUGCCCCAGGGCCCAGCCCUCCUUGUCCUCCCUGGCUGUUAUCUUCGGUACUACAAAGAGAACACAGACAUAUCUGGCCUGGUGACCUGGCUGUACUAGAAAAGUCAGCUUCAUCAAAUUCUUUACAAAAGGAAAAUACAAGGAAUGGGAUAAGCCUCAUUGACUUGGAGAAAAUCAAAAGGAAUGAGAACAGCAUCAAAAGCCCCCUGGCCCCAGACUGCACCCACUUUCCUGGCCCUACCUUGAAAUCCAUCAGGUCUGCGUUGGACACGGCAUUGUACACGGGGUUAGCUCUGGUCUGACCUGGAAGCUGGAAUGCCAGAAGGAGGAGGAAGCUCACGGUAACAGCGGAGAAGGAGCCCAUGCCGGUGUAGUCAAGGAGCGAUCCACUGCUUGCUGCUCU